rnacentral:lncRNA from 1 species
GGGAAGCCAGCAGAGACCCAAAUUUCUUCCGUCAUGCAGCUCCACGACAUCUGAGGGUUCUGUCCUCACGUGCCUGGUUGAAGCUGGAUCCUUACAAUAUCCAUGUCCUUCAGGGGAAGAGGACUGUCCAAGGCAAAUGGCCUUGUCAUGAAUAAGAUGAGAAGAACAAGUCCCUGAGAGGUGCUGUGAUAGAGAACAUGGUGUUGAGGCUUGUGACUAUGAGCGGACCCUGGUGAGGCAGAGCUGUGGUU